CUACGGGCGGCUGCAGUGGGGAAUAUUGGACAAUGGGCGCAAGCCUGAUCCAGCAAUGCCGCGUGAGUGAAGACGGCCUUAGGGUUGUAAAACUCUUUCGCUAGGGAAGAUAAUGACUGUACCUAGUAAAGAAGUCCCGGCUAACUCCGUGCCAGCAGCCGCGGUAAUACGGAGGGGACUAGCGUUGUUCGGAAUUACUGGGCGUAAAGAGUUCGUAGGCGGACUGACAAGUUAGAGGUGAAAUCCCAGGGCUCAACCCUGGAACUGCCUUUAAAACUGUCAGUCUAGAGACCGGAAGAGGUUAGGGGAAUACCUAGUGUAGAGGUGAAAUUCGUAGAUAUUAGGUGGAACACCAGUGGCGAAGGCGCCUAACUGGUCCGGUACUGACGCUGAGGAACGAAAGCGCGGGGAGCAAACAGGAUUAGAUACCCGUGUAGUC
rnacentral:rRNA from 1 species